rnacentral:rRNA from 1 species
GAUGAACGCUGGCGGCGUGCCUAAUACAUGCAAGUCGAGCGAACGGACGAGAAGCUUGCUUCUCUGAUGUUAGCGGCGGACGGGUGAGUAACACGUGGAUAACCUACCUAUAAGACUGGGAUAACUUCGGGAAACCGUAGCUAAUACCGGAUAAUAUUUUGAACCGCAUGGUUCAAAAGUGAAAGACGGUCUUGCUGUCACUUAUAGAUGGAUCCGCGCUGCAUUAUCUAGUUGGUAAGGUAACGGCUUACCAAGGCAACGAUGCAUAGCCGACCUGAGAGGGGGGAUGGAAAAAAGGGGAAGGAGAAAAGGGAACAAAAACAAAGGGAGGGAGAAGGAGGGAAUCUUCCGAAAAGGGGGAAAGACUGAAGGAGGAAAGGAGGGGUGGGGAAGAAGGGUGUUGGAAAGGUAAAACUUGUUAAUAGGGAAGAAAAAAGGGGGAAAGAAAGUGGCAAAAUUUGAAGGGAACAAAAGAAAAAAGCAAGGCAAAACAAGGU